AAUCUAUAGGAUAGGAACAGUAACCAUAGGAGGUAGCAGGAGCUGUAAGAGAUCGGUUAGGUCUCGCGAGGUCUUUUUCCAUUUGUGUUCCUCCCUUGGGCAGGCGAGGCGGGGAGGGGGGGCCCAACAAAACCUAAAUCUUUAUCAAGCCCCUAUUCUGUGGCUUCAACAAACAGAAUCCCGAUUACUUCACGGCGCCUUUUGUUGGCCCUAUACAAAUGAGAACAAAAUGGUUAUUCAGGAAAACGCUUUUCGAUUUGUAUUGUGUGGGGCAUGCACAAAGCGCACUGUUAUUGUAUUAAAAAGAACCAUCUGUAGCAGAAACAAUAGCAUCAAAUUAUCUUUGAAUACCCACUGCAAAAAUAUAAAGCUUUUAUUCUUUAUUCUUAUUCUCCCGAAUAAGAGGGAAGGGGGGGAGGGAAAGAGAGGGGAGAAAAAGCGAGGCAGAAAUGACUUUUUUGUUGUUGUGGGUGCAUUCUUAUAACGCGCGCACACACGCACAAAAUCAGCCAUUUGGAUUUUUUAAGCCAUACCAUAAACGAUUUUCCCUCUCUCUCCCUCUCUCGUUCUUUCUCUCCCUCUGUCUUUCUCUCUCUCCCUCUCUCUCUCUCUCCCCCCCCCCCCUCCCCGUUCUAGGAGCUGCAGUUUAAAGCUAGGAAUAGGACUUGAAGGAUGUGUAGGCAACCAGGCGAGCCGGGAAAGAAAAAAACGAACUGGAUUCACUCUGGAUGGAGUAGAAGAAAGCGCGGGGGGGGGGAGAAGAGGAGCUUCUCAGCAUCUGCGAGUUCCGCUGUCCGGCGGAAAAGUGGCCCAAGCCCCCGAGGCCGGGCGGCACUGAGGAGCCCCCGCGGACUUCGCCUGUCCGUCUACCAAUCAGACGACUUCCGAGCCAACAGCCCGAAUUGGCAGAAACCUGUGAGGGCCAAGAGGUUAAAGAAGAACCCAAACAGACCUCAGCCUACAGCCGCAGGGGGCUGUGGUACUUCGGACAUGUCAAGAGAAGAACGCCCCCCCCCGAAAAAGACCAACGGAAAGCAGCAGGGAGAGCGGAAGACUAACCAAUGGAUGGAAUGAGCCUAAGGAAGCCACCGCCUUGAGUCCCGCAAGACCUGAACAGGGGCUGCUAGUCACGGUAAGGCUUUUCGGAGAUCCUGAACUCGUCGGCUCUCUACAAUUCGGAAAUGCGGCCCUUCUCUGUUGUAGCUUGCUUUCUUUAAUGCCAGUCAGCCCUCGUCCAACGGGGCUGGGGAGACAGAGGGGGACGCGGUCGGACAAGGGCUGACUCGUAUUAGAGCGAAAUCAGAUGGACUGGCUCGCCUUUCUGUUCUUGCCUCCCCGCCCUUAGACUAGCUCCAGCGGUUCUCAACCCAGGCCCCCCAGAUGUUCUUGGACUACAACUCCCAGAAAUCCUGGCCAGAACAGCAAGUGGUGAAGGCUUCUGAGAACUUUAGUCCAAGAAGAUCUGGGGACCUCAGAAGCCUGUCG
rnacentral:lncRNA from 1 species